GGAGAGGUGGCUGAGUGGUUGAAGGCACCGGUCUUGAAAACCGGAGAUCGUGAAAGCGAUCCGUGGGUUCAAAUCCCACCCUCUCCG
rnacentral:tRNA from 1 species